CUCUGAGAUUCUACUACCUUUGCUCCAAGUUCUGUGACACCCCAGUGGGAUGGAAGGUAAAGAACUGUGUGCUGUUGAAGACUGUUUUCUCCAACUCCUUCAAAAUGUCCAUGAUCAUCAAGAGGCUGGGGAGAGGAGUGUGGAUUCAGGAACCUGAGGUAUCCAACACCCACGUUCUGGGUUUCUACAUUGAUGUGAGAUAAAAAAAGCAUCAAGAAGGUAAAUGAAAUGGGCAGAAAGAGUAAGAAAAAUUGGAAACACUUAACUGUGGUUAGCUUGGUCUGCCUGGAGAUAACAGAGUGUAUGGCUUACAGUGAUAACUGCGCUGAUAGAGACCCCAAGAAGAUUGAGCAGUGAUUUAAACAUCUUUUAUUGAGGGAACCUUGACCUAACCAAGCUACGACCUCUUUCUUCAUAACAAAAUAAUUACCUCCAUGUGUAUUAAAGUAUACAAAUUAUGUACUGAAAGAGGAUGGAGGCUAUUCCUAUCAACAAAUCAAAUUACCGAGUGAAAGACAGAGAUCCAAGAGUCUGAAUUCUGAAGCCAGGCUGUCUGGGUGUAAAUCUCAGCUCCGUGCCUCCCAAGUCAUUCAUCUCUGGACAAGCUGCAUAACUCUCAUUGCUUCCUUUCCCCACUUGGAAAAUGGAGAUGAUAAUCUCCUCGUACCUGGUACCACCACUCCACUCUGAAUCUAUGAAUUUGACUAAUUGGCAUACCUCAUGUAAGUGGAAUCCUGCAGGAUUUGUCUUUCUGCGGCUAACUGAACUCGGGAUAAGGUCUAGGGUUCUGUCAUGCUGUCCCAUAUUGGAAAAUUUUCUUCUUUUUUAAGGAUCAAUGGUCAGAAGGAUUCCAGGCUUAGCAAAGAAGCAAAUAAUGAGAGAAAAAAUCAAGGAGAGCAGGGUUGGAGUUAAUUCAUCUUUGUUACAAAUCUUCAUCGCAAAAAUAUUGGCAGCACCAGCCGUGAGAUUCUAGCUAAGGAUGAAAGGAAGAAACUCCUAUUGUCGUUCUCCUGGGGAAAUAAGGACUAAAAAUGAAUUGGACUGGGGAAAAAAAUACCAAGUAGAACAUUCUCAUCUGACUGAUCAGAUUUCUUCAUAAAGCAGCAUAUCUAAGAGUUUCAACUUGCUCCUGGAGAGAAUUGGAAACAUGGAGAGAUGCAAAUUAUAGGUGCAGUAAGAAGGAAAGUAAAUCCAGCAAAACACUUUCAUUCCUUUUAUUUUAGUGAAAUAUUUCUACCUUUUGAGAGAAAAUGAGUGAAAAUAUCAGUGAGGGUGACAAAACAUGAGAGACACCUAACUCUGGGAAACAAACAAGGGGUAGU